rnacentral:rRNA from 1 species
UACGUAGGGUGCGAGCGUUGUCCGGAAUUACUGGGCGUAAAGAGCUCGUAGGUGGUUUGUCGCGUUGUUCGUGAAAACCGGGGGCUUAACCCUCGGCGUGCGGGCGAUACGGGCAGACUUGAGUACUGCAGGGGAGACUGGAAUUCCUGGUGUAGCGGUGGAAUGCGCAGAUAUCAGGAGGAACACCAACGGCGAAGGCAGCACUCUGGGCCGGUACUGACGCUGAGGAGCGAAAGCGUGGGGAGCGAACAGG